ensembl:lncRNA
GAGCCCAGCACUGCUCCAUGUCAGUGCAGAGCCAGCCCCAGCUGCUCCAGAAGGGACCCCCAGCCUGAGCUGAGCCGUGAGUGACUCUGGUGUGCUCUAGGGGAGCAGACUGAGGAAAGGGAAAAGUUGCUGUACAACAGCAAGUGGGAGAGACCCCAUGAGGAGAAGGGGCAGAGAGUGACCAUGGAGGAGCAGCAGAGACAAAGCAGUAAUGACUGACCUUAGCCCCCAUUUCCUGUUAUGCUGCACUGCUCAGGGGAAGAGGUAGAGGAGGGUGGAUAGGCUGACAUCAAACCAAAAUUCAAAACAUUAUUCUGACUGAAUCAAUGCAUCAUGUCCUGUGGCUGCCUGCAAUGUGAUUGUGUACCCCCAUGCGACCCAUGACAAGUCUGGCUUGUUUUGCAGUGUGGUAACGCACACGUCUGGUAUUGAGACUGAUGAAAUCACAGCCUUGCUUCUUCCCCAGGCUGUGCUCUCUUUUGAAAAAAAUCCAGAGAACUGAGUCAACUAGUGUAGAAAGAAGUAACCAUUGAACCUCACCUGCGCUGUGCACGAAAGGACUGUGGCCCUCUGAAGCACUUGGUUCUAAGGGUUUCCUUAUGCAACCCUUCUUCCCAGGACAGGUUAUCUCAAUGCAGAGUCAAUCAGUGCAGCCACCCAUCCUCUCCAAAACACGGCAAAGGCUUCAUCAGAUGUUCAGCAAAUGUUCAGGUCUUCAGCAAACAGGGAAGAGCUGUCACACUGAAAGCAUGAGAGAUUGCCUCUAUGUUCUGCUCUUUGCAGUGAGCAUUCUCCUCUUCGUCAUUAUCUACAGAGCUGGCCAACUGGAGGUCCACUGGUC